rnacentral:lncRNA from 1 species
AUAGGAAAACGGUGGAGGCCGUGCUGGCUGCGGCCCGGGGAAGAAGGCUGCGUGAGACCAGCAGCGCAGGACCCUGACAGUCCUGACCUCAGUGCCUCCUUCAGCCCACUUCGUGUACGGGUCUGGGUGGAGGAGGAGGCGCUUCAGACCUUGAGGUGGGCACUCGGGACUGCUCUCUGAUUUGAUUCUAGAUUGGAGGGUGUGGGCAGGAAUCAGGUCCCAUGGGGCUGGGGAUCCAAUCUGGUGAGGAGUUGAGGGGUCGCUGGGGUAGGAAAACAUACCUGAGACCCCAGUGGAGGGUGUGAGCAGGACAUUCCCUCGCCCCAUGAGCUGACUGGCCCCCUUUCGACCUGGGCCUCCCAGGGCCCUGUCCUGGUCUCCAAGACCAGGGCCUUCGGCUUCUCAGCAUUGCUGUCCAGAAAAGGCGGGAACAAGGACAAAGUCAAGCCCGAUGUGAAGCAGAGGUGGCAACACCUAAAACUGGCAUCCCAUGGGGGCAGAAAAUGUGGAGAGAGUGUCUCAGAGGCCUUCUGGGGUGAAUCCAAGCCCAAAAGGGAUAUCCAGGCAUGCUGGCGAGGGCCACUGAGGAUACCCCCAAGAAAGCGAAGCACAAGCAAAGCACACCUGAAACCAUAGGAGGGCCUGUGCCGGAGUCCAAGCCUCCUCCAGGGAUUCCUGCCAGAGGAGCCAAGAGGAUCCUGCAAAGUGAUCCAGCACCCACACCGGGAUCACAACCCACCACCGGGUCUACACCCAGCUAACCCCCAGUCCCUUUUGCUCCGUGAAAUCCCUGGCAACGAAAAGGUGCAGUGCUGAGAGGCAGUCCCAGCCAGGAACAGAGCAAUGGGAGACCCCUCAACAAUGAGAAAACACCAGCAGAUGAGAUGAAACAUAGCCUUCAUUAGAAGGCAAAGGCCAGCUACGGCUGGCUACCUCUCAUUCUAUGUGAAUCAUGCAGCCAUCUGAUGCAAUGGGGAGACCAAGAGUUUCCUUAUUGGGGAAAGCUACGGGCACCCACGGUUCCAAGAGCAUCACAGCUACCCAGUCAUUAAGAAAUGUGAGUGUUGAGAAGGAAACACUCAUCACCUACGUCCCCGCCAAGGUGGUCCUGGACGAACUGGGAAACAUUUGCUGUGAAGGACGUUCUGGAGGACUGUGAGCCAGACCAAGGAAAACCUGGGCCGACGAGAAUCAGGGAAGGCAAGAAAAGAGGGAGAACAGAGUAGAGGCCGCAGCCCAGGCAGGAUCAAUCCAUCCCACUCCCAUGUGCCUCGGGGAACCAGGGUCCAACAGGGGACCUGGCCAGAAAGGCGACAGUCUUCGGUCCAAAGGUUCUCCGAACACUCGUGUCUUCUAUCGCCAGCACAGCGCCAUGGUGUGGACAGGUUGUACAGUGAAGAGGAAAAGGGGAUGGCGUUGGAAACAGUUUCUUUGACAUCUGUCUGCACCUGUUCUGCAGGUGAAGGUGCGAGACCUCCUCCACACCUCAGCGGAUUGUAUCUUCACCCCCAUCUGACCUUUUUUCUGCACACAUCCUUUAAUCCAGAAUGAAAUCUGAAGAGGAUGAAGGAGUGCCCGCCUCAGGUCCUGAAGCUGCGACUCCGCCAGCCACCGAAUUAGAAGUGGGCUCAAGGGGGUACUGAGGACAGGACAGCUAGGGUCCGUCCAGCCUUGGGUGUGCCGCAGGACCAUGGGCCCCUGGAGGAAUUUGUUCUUGGUUGUCGUGUGCUGGUCUUCUUUCUGGAAGAGUGGGCGGCUUGGGAGGGGAGGUGAUUUGGACGUUUGCGGGUCGCAGCCAGCCCCCCACUUCACCGAGGCUUUAGGAACCAAGAGCGAAACAAAGAACGCUUGCCCCGCAACCCAAGCCCGGCCAAAGAGACGGGCGCAUCAGAGCGUAGGCGAACUACAGAGAAACCGCGCUUCACUGCACGAGCCACAUUUCUUUCACCGCACACCACACACACACUCACACGCACACACAGAAAGACACACGGAAACAUCCAACAGUCGCACAGAAACACACACAGCCAGGCAGCUCCUGAGGCUGCGCGGUUCUGCUCUCUGCCAGGAAACCCCUCCGGAAAGAGAGCGCCCCGGGGAACACAGGCAGGCCGUACCUCGAAAUCCCAGCGGGGACACCUGUCAGGGAGACGCACCCUCACACCGCCCAUGCAUGCCCGACGCAUCUUUGGGAUCCUUAGGGAUCACGUGGUGCUUCCUUGAAUCUCCGCUUGAGGUUUCUUCAGGCAGGUUCGGCCUUGCCCGACUCCUAGGAUCGCAGGACCAUGGCGACGAUCCCGCGGAGAGGGGACGCACUGCCACAGACGCCUGGGGGCCAAGCCGCUGGGGCCAGUCCCCCGGCAACGGUGGCGGUUACUGUGACGCGAGUCCCCCCUCAGCGCUAGCGCCUGGUGAUCGCGCCUGGGGCACUCGGGAUUGCUCUUCUGAUUUGAUUCUGGACUGGAAUCAAAUUGGAAUUGACCCGGAAUUGGGUCCCACGGGGCUGGGGAACCAAUCUGGUGAGGUGUGGAGGGGUCGCUGGUGCACAGAAACAUACCGGAUACCCUCGGGGUGGGUGUCAGCAGAACAUUCCUCGGCUCCAUGAGCUGACUGCCUCCCUUUGAUCUGGGCCUCCCAGGGCUCUUCCUGCGUCUCCAAGCUCAGGGGCUCCUGCUUCUCAGCACUGCUGUCUGGAAAAGGCGGGAACGAGGACUAAGGCAAGCCCAGUGUGGGGCAGAGAUGGCAACACCUGGAACUAGCUUUUCAUGGGGGCAGAUAAUGUGGAGAGUGUCCCAAUUACAUCUCCCUUUAUUCUAUCCCAUACUACUAAACCCCACCAGCUAUUUGCCUACAAACUGUGUAUCAGUCAGGACAUCAGGACACCAAGAUAAAGGACUAGAGUUUGGUAAUCAACUACUGGCUCCUCCAGCAGCUCAGAAUGUGGCCUGUAUGCAUCACUUCACUUAAUUCAUUCAAGAAAUGCUGACUGAGUUCCUGCUGUGUGUUGGACACUUUCUUAGAAGUGGGACACACUGCAGUGUGUGGGACAAAGGCUGGGCCGCUCAUUGCUUAUGUUCUAGUUGAAGAGAGAGUCAAUCAACAACAUUCUACUUUCAGACAUUGAUAAAUGCUGUCAUGAAAAGACAAGGAACAUGAAAAGGUAAGAAAAGGGAUGGAGAGAGAUGGGAUGAGGGGUGCCUGGGCAGACAAUGCAAUGAUCUGGCAAAAGAGUAGGACAAUCAUGAGACUGCAUGUGUUCCAGUUUCUGCUGCUGUAAAACAGCAUCCACAGGUUACAUCUUUACUAUUCUGUUACAUACAUACUAUUAUUUAAAUAAAAAAUAGUACUAGUUAACUGUGAAAAUUGCAAUUAAUAGGGCAGAUUAAACAAAUCCUUUAAAUUUAAACAAAUGUUUUAUGGUUUUUUAUCCUCUGAUACAUUGUUUCAACUUUAAAAAACCCUCUUUAUUUGAUAUUUAAACUCUAUAUUAAUGUAUAUUCUUAAGAUACAUAAAUUUAAGAUUUUUUUCGAGACAGGGUCUCAUUCUGUCACACAGUCUGGAGUGCUGUGGUGCAAUUAUGGUUCACUGCAGACUCCACCUCUCCAGGCUCAGAUAAUCCUCCUGCCUCAGACUCCUGAGUAUCUGGGACCACAGGUGUGCAUCACCACACCCAGCUAAUUUCUUGUAUUUUUUUGUUGGGAUGGGGUUUUGCGAUGUUGCCCAGGCUGGUCUCAAACUCCUGGGCUCAAGUGAUCUGCCUGCCUUGGUGUCUCAAAGUGUUGGGAUCACAGGCGUGAGCCACCACAUCCAGCCUAAUUUAAGAUUUUUAAAAAGCAGAAUGUAAAUAUGGUCAUGCAUUGUGUAAUUCUGUGGAUACUUUCUGAGUAAUGCAUGGUUAGGUGACUUCAUCAUUAUGUGAACAUUAUAGAGUGUACAUACACAAACCUAGAUGAUGUAGCCUGAUGGUACAGCCUAUCACUUCGAGGCUACAAAUCCAAAUUGCCUGGAUACUGUAAACAAUUAUACUCAAUGGUAUUUGUGUAUCUAAACAUGUCUAAACAUAGAAAGGGUACAGUAAAAAUAUGGUAUAAAAGAUAAGAAAUCGUAUACCGGUAUACAGCACUUACCGUGGAUGGAGCUUGCAAGACUGGAAGUUACUCCGGGUGAGUCAGUGACUGAGCGGUGAGUGAAUGUGAAGGCUAGGGCAGUACUGUAUACUACUGUAGACUUUAUAUGUACUGUAUGCUUAGGCUACACUAAAUUUAUUUGAAUUUUUUUGUCGGUAAUAAAUUAACCUUAGCUUACUAUAAUUUCUUUAUAAACCUUUUAAUUUUUAAAAAUGUUUUGACUCUCUUGUAAUAAAUUAGCUUCAAACACAUUGUAUAGCUGUACACAAAUAUUUUCUUUAUAUCCUUAUUCUAUAAUCUUCUACUUAAAAAUUUUUUUAAUUUUUUUAUUUUAAUUUAAUUUUAUUUUAUUUUGAGACAGAGUCUCACUCUCUCGCCCAGGCUGGAGUGCAGUGGCGUGAUCUUAACUCACUGCAACCUCCGCUUCCCAGGUAAUAUUAUUUAAAUAAAAAUAGUACUAGUUAACUGUGAAAAUUGCAAUUAAUAGGGCAGAUCAAGCAAUUCUCUUGCCUCAGCCUCCAGACUUUUUUGUUAAAAACUAAGACACAAACACAUUAGCCUAGGUACACACAGUGCCAGGAUCAUCAAAAUGUCAUUAGGCAGUAUAAACUUUUCAGCUCCAUAAAAGUUGGAAAAAAAAUAAUAAUAAUAAAUACAAUUUUAUAAAAAGAAAAUUUUCAGCUCUGCUAUAAUCUUAUGGGACCACUACUGUAUAUGUGGUCCCUCAUUGACCAAAACAUCAUUAUGUGGCACAUGAUUAUAACAAAUGAUGGAUGGCGAGGUUGUGAAGAAACUGGAACCCUUGUGCAUUACUGGUUGUAAUAUAAAAAGGUACAGCCACUGUAAAAAAAAAACACAGUUUGGUUAUUUCUUCAUAAGUUAAUCAUAGAAUUACCAUAUAAUCCAGCAAUUUCACUUCUAGGUAUAUGCCCAAAAUAAUUGAAUAAGGUGUUUAAACAUAAACUUGUACAAGAAUGUUCAUAGCAGUACAUUUCACAAUACUCAGAUAAUCCUCUCAUUGGAAGCAACUCAAAUGUCCACCAACUGAUGGUAUUACCCAUGCAAUGGAAUAUUAUUCAGUCAUAAAAAGGAAUGAAGUACUGAGGCAUGUUACAACAUGAAGGAACUUUGAGGACAGUUUGUUAAUACGCUAUAUACUGUGUAAUUCUAUUUAUAUGAAAUAUCCAGAAUAGGUAAAUCAUUAGAGACUAGAGACAGCAGAUUAGUGGAUGCCAGGAGUUUGGGGAAGGAAGGGGUGGGAAGAAUGGGAAGUGACUGCUUAAUGGAUACAGGGUUUCUUUUUGGGGUGAUGAAAAAUUUCUGGAACUAGAUUGUAGUGAUGGUUGCACAACACCGUAAGUGUAAUAAUGUCACUGAAUUAUACACUUUAAAGUGAUUUAAAUGGUAAAUUGUAUUAUUUAUGUAUUUUACCACAAUAAAGAAGUCACCUAUCACCAACCCUUUAGAUCCCUUAUUGACUCCUUAGACUCCCCACAUCCCAUAUCCCAGAGACUACCACUCUCCCAAAUUCCAAGACCUCGGAUACCUGACCCACUGGGACACCCAUACCAAUUAUAGCCUUCUCUGGACUCCUGAAUCAUUGAAAACCAAGUAUCUGCAUGCAAUCAUUCCUUGGACCUCUUUAUCACUACAUCCCAGAACUGAUUCUCCUCCCCCAAUUCCUAAACCCCAUUCCUGCCACCCACUUCCCAUUUUCAGUCAAUUGCAUCCAAUUCCUAAGCCCCAUCUCUCCGCAAGACCACACAUUGCCAUGGUUUCCUCAAAGGACAUCUCUCCUUCUGUGGCGGCAGGGCCACUGCAACAACCCUCUCCACCUCGCCCCAAGGCUGCCACACACACUCAGGUGUGGCUUUCCGCUGUGUAGCUAAAUGCCCAGGGCGCCCCAUUAUAGUGUGAGAUGCUGAGUAAUUAAUUGCGUCUAUGCGGUGAAACCAGGUAGCUGCACCCAUUUAGCUGUUUCUCCCUGGGGACGACCAUUUUCAAAGAUGUGUCCUACAAUACCCCCAGCCUAUCUUUUUCUGACCCCAAGGUUUUGGUUGUUCUAGGUAGGGAUACACAGUUGACAAUGACCUGCUACCAUCCUUUCUGUUGGAACCCCACUCUGAGGCUGUCACUUCUGCAGGAAACCACUGCCCGCAUCUCCUCUCCAUCAAUAUAGUGCUAGUCAUAAGAAAAACAGUAGGCCGGGCGUGGGGGCUCACGCCUCUAAUUCCAGCACUUUGGGAGGCCGAGGUGGGUGAAUUGCUUGAGGUCAGGAGUUCAAGACCAGCCUGACCAACAUGGUGAAACCCCGUCUCUACUAAAAAUACAAAAAUUAGCCAGGCGUGGUGGCUCACGCCUGUAAUCCCAGCAUGUUGGGAGGCCGAGGCAGGAGAAUC